CGAAGAUGAUCCCUAGAUGACGAGUCUUAUUCGGCUUCGCCGAUGCAGACAACAUCUUUUAUACCAUUCAUGCAUUUCCUGAGU
rnacentral:snoRNA from 1 species